rnacentral:rRNA from 1 species
GAUGAACGCUGGCGGCGUGCCUAAUACAUGCAAGUCGAGCGAACAGACGAGGAGCUUGCUCCUCUGACGUUAGCGGCGGACGGGUGAGUAACACGUGGAUAACCUACCUAUAAGACUGGGAUAACUUCGGGAAACCGGAGCUAAUACCGGAUAAUAUAUUGAACCGCAUGGUUCAAUAGUGAAAGACGGUUUUGCUAUCACUUAUAGAUGGAUCCGCGCCGCAUUAGCUAGUUGGUAAGGUAACGGCUUACCAAGGCAACGAUGCGUAGCCGACCUGAGAGGGUGAUCGGCCACACUGGAACUGAGACACGGUCCAGACUCCUACGGGAGGCAGCAGUAGGGAAUCUUCUGCAAUGGGCGAAAGCCUGACGGAGCAACGCCGCGUGAGUGAUGAAGGUCUUCGGAUCGUAAAACUCUGUUAUUAGGGAAGAACAAAUGUGUAAGUAACUAUGCACGUCUUGACGGUACCUAAUCAGAAAGCCACGGCUAACUACGUG